GCCCAAACUAAACUUUCAGACUAAUUUUUGUCCAAUUAAUAAACAUACAACACUACACUAUCUAACCCUAAUGAAAAGUGGCGCAUGUUCUCUCUCUCCCUCACCCACCGCCUUGCCGCCUUCCUUACCCGCCGAGCUGCGCCGCAUGCACCAGCAACACGACGUCGCCUUUCUCUAAAUUAUUUGCAAUGUUUUGGUCCUUUGUCUCCAUACUCUUCACUUUUGUGGUUGUGCGAGAGUUAUGAGUUUUAGGCUUAGAAAUGGAGCUUCUCGUUGGCUUCUUUGGGGCAGCACUGCCUUCAUCACUGUUGAUCUUGGGAGACCUCGAUGAAUUGCCACCAUUUUUAAGGGAAUUGGUAGACGUGUGCAUAACAACGCUUUUGUUCCUUCCAAGCUUCGGAGAUAAUGGAUAUGUAGUUGGAACUAUAUUGUUUUUUGCAUAAAGUGAAUUGUUCAUUGCUUUGUCCAUUGCCAAAAUAGCUUUUGAGGUUUAAGCCAAUUUUCUUUUAAUGAGUGAUUUAUCAUCAAUCAUGUUAUAUGUUUCUAGAACAUGCUCGUGGUCUCAUUGAGUCUACAUAGUGGCUUUAGAAAUAGGAAAGGACGUUAGGUCAUCCUUCUUAGCCAUAUCUUAAUCCAUACUCUAAACGUAUUUAUUAUCCUUUAGUAGCCACUUAGAUCCUAAAAGCUUUUUCUUUAUUAAGCUAAACAUAUAGGAUGGAUUUCCUAAGUUCUACAUAUGGUAUAUCAAGUGAAUAAGGGAAGAAAGGAGAAUGGUCAUAGCUAAAGAAAUGGGUUCAAGGGAUGCUUGAAAAGAAAAACAAAAAGAAGAGAAAAGAGAAAGAAGAAAAGGUGGAAAAAAAUAAUAAAGCCUUUGUUCCUUGCAAGCUUAUGAGAUAUUGGACCUUUAGUUGAUAUCUGUAUUUAUAAAUACAUGUAUUUACGUAUCUAUAAUUUGCAUAAUCAUUAUGAUAGUAGCAGUCAGAGAAAAAAAAUAACGGUAAACUACAAAUGCGAAAACAUUAUUCUGAAUGCAUUUUGUUUGAAAUAUGAGAUGUAGGCUGCAGUUUUAUUCUAGUAGGGAGAAGCAUGUUGUGCAAUAUAUCCACCGUCCAUUAAAAAUAAAUCACAUUUGUCAUUUUGGGAGGUCUCUUAAAUACGGCCCAAUUCUAUUUAAUGAUAUACUUUUUUCUCUCUAAUUAGGUAAGUCUCAUCCUUCACUAAUAAUACUUUAAUCACUUUUUCUUUCUAUCUCUCUUACUUUACUAAUUGUGCAUUACAAUUCGUGUCAAUUCAAAUGUUUUCUAUUUUUUUAGGGAAGGACGGAGUUAAACAUAUAUUGUUAAAGAAGAUAUUUUCUUGAAGAUAUAAGGUUGCCAUCUUCUUUGACUUACGUUUUGUGGAUGAGCACACUGCGAAUCCAGCUGAUUUUCUAGCAAGCCUCUGAACUCUCAACCCUUUGAUGAACCUGUGGUUUAGCACGUCAUGUGAGAUGAUAAACAUGGAUAUUGUAUUGGUUUGUAGCUCUUUUCAUGGGCUGUCAUCCAUUUAUUCUCUAUUUAAGUGAAGUUGACGAGUUUGUUGAGAUUGUGUAGUCGAAACAGGUGAAAAACAGGCGAAAACAGAGUUCAAGGAGGCAAACCAGAGGCUGGAGGCAGAAAAUGCUUGCUCUGGCGUUUGAACGGGAUACAAAAUGCGAAACAGUGGAAUCGUCCGAAUCAGGCAUUGGGUUGAAGGAAGAACACCCAAUCGGGACGAUCGCAAGUCAGUGGGAGCAACCAAGUGUAAAAAUUCUCCUAAAUAUAUUACAUAGAAUAUUUAAAGAUGUGUGAUGCUAUUUUUAAAGUAUGAAGACCACAAAUGUGCAAGUGUCAUACUAAUAAAAAUGUUAUUUCUCUCUA